rnacentral:rRNA from 1 species
AUUGAACGCUGGCGGCAGGCCUAACACAUGCAAGUCGAACGAGUGGCGGACGGGUGAGUAAUGUCUGGGACACGGCCUGAUGGAGGGGGAUAACUACUGGAAACGGUAGCUAAUACCGCAUACCAUCAGAUGUGCCCAGAUGGGAUUAGCUAGUUGGUGGGGUAACGGCUCACAACGGCGACGAUCCCUAGCUGGUCUGAGAGGAUGACCAGCCACACUGGAACUGGGAAACGGCCCAGACUCCAACGGGAGGCAGCAGUGGGGAAUAUUGGACAAGGGGCGAAAGCCUGAUGCAGCCAUGCCGCGUGUAGGAAGAAGGUCUUCGGGUUGUAAAGUACUUUCAGCGGGGAGGCGUUACCCGCAGAAGAAGCACCGGCUAACUCCGUGCCAGCAGCCGCGGUAAUAC